ensembl:snRNA U6 U6 spliceosomal RNA
GUGCUCACGACGGCAGCACGUAUACUAAAAUUGGAACAAUACAGAGAAGACUAGCAUGGCCCCGAUCCAAGGAUGACACGCAAAUCUGUGAAAUGUUCCAUAUUUUU